UUCUGGGAGCUCUGGAUACUUGUUCUGACCUCCAAGCCCAGCAACACUGUCACUGCUGCAUGAGUGUGUCAUCCAUGCACACAGGCAAUGGGAAGUGCCCUGGAUAAAUGUGGAUCUCACCAACUGUGUUCCUCCUUUCAAAGUGCUGGUUCUCAUGUAUGCCGGAUUGUUGAGGACUUGUCUGAGAGCUGUGGAAAGUAUCAGCUGAAGUGCAUUUUGACACUGAUAUAUGAUGUCUUACUUCACAGGAAAUAGUUCAGGAACAGCCAGGAAGUCUGAAGUCCAUUGAAAAUGUGUUAAAUGCGAGGUGUCCUGUGAGGUUUCUCAAUCUCUCAGCAGUCUUGAAAUUUGUUUCUCGUUGUUUCAGUUUAUAUGAGCCUGAAAAAGGCCUUUUAUUGUCUUGCAUCUGUCACUUAAAGAUGUCCUUAACUCAGGAAACAAACCUCACUUAUCUUUAGCAGUGUUUUACUUGGAUCAAAAAGCAGCUGAAUUCAAAUGCUUUAUGAUACCUGAAAAAUAACACCCAGAGGUACCGUUCUAAAGUGACUCUGAAAUCCUCCCCUUUUAAUAAGAAUCUUUCUCCUUUGGGAGCUAAUUUUUUGAGGCAAUAAUCUGGUUCUUGGCAUUAAACUAAGAUUCUUUUAUCAUUAUAUGUUGUAAACAAAGCUCUUGCUUGUAAGAUGAAUGUACGACAAGUUUCAG
rnacentral:lncRNA from 10 species